rnacentral:rRNA from 1 species
UGGGGAAUUUUCCGCAAUGGGCGAAAGCCUGACGGAGCAAUACCGCGUGAGGGAGGAAUGCCUUUGGGUUGUAAACCUCUUUUCUCAGGGAAGAAGAUCUGACGGUACCUGAGGAAUAAGUAUCGGCUAACUCCGUGCCAGCAGCCGCGGUAAUACGGAGGAUGCAAGCGUUAUCCGGAAUCAUUGGGCGUAAAGCGUCCGCAGGUGGUUUCCAAAGUCUGCUGUUAAAGACUGGAGCUCAACUCCGGAACGGCGGUGGAAACUUGGAAACUAGAGUUCGGUAGGGGUAGCAGGAAUUCCCAGUGUAGCGGUGAAAUGCGUAGAUAUUUGGAAGAACAUCGGUGGCGAAGGCGUGCUACUGGACCGUAACUGACACUCAGGGACGAAAGCUAGGGGAGCGAAAGGGAUUAGAUACCCCUGUAGUCCUAGCUGUAAACGAUGGAAACUAGGUGUGGCUUGA